rnacentral:lncRNA from 1 species
GUUACUCGAAACUGUAAAACUUAUAUCAAUGAAAUAAAUAGUAUAAUGUUUUUACAAGAACACAAUCACAAUGAAAAUCACGAAGAAUUCAUUGACGACAAGGAAAAGAAUGAAAUAUUUUGCUGAAGCCUGUCCAAUCGGUAACGUCAGAACUCAAGAUUUAAGUUUGUAUUUCUGAAAAAUGUCUAGACCCUGUCAAAUACUGUAUAGUAACAUGAUUGUCAAAAGACUUUUUUAUUUAUCAACAUGUGUUUUACUUCACUUCAUGACAUAUAUGGUUAAAGAGCUCAUCCCGGAGAAGCGGAAACCUCUCAUCCUACACGUAGUAAAAUGUAGGAAGACGGCAAUUUGAAAAUAAAAUUUAAACUUUGAACCGUGUCAUUAUUCUACGAUAAAAAAAACAAAAACAAAAUUACUCCUGAAUUAGUUUUAACUCAGAAAAUAAAACAGACAAAUAAAAAAAACAGGGGCCGAGUGCUCCUGAAUGGUAAAUCAACAGUUCUAUCUCCACAUUGGAAUCCCGUCGUGUUACUCUUAAUAUACAUUGAUCAGUCAGUUCUAUUGAUUUGGUGUCUAACAAUAGGGACUCUAUGCUGAGCCUGACUCGGCUAGUAUAACCAUGUGAUUGUAUCGCAAUCUCGGCAAAUUAUAAAGAAUAACAACUUGUGUGUGAAGAUUGUAGAUUAUAAUUCCACCAGAAAUGAUAAAGGAGUUUUUACAGAGU